rnacentral:rRNA from 1 species
GACGAACGCUGGCGGCGUGCUUAACACAUGCAAGUCGAACGGUAAGGCCCUUCGGGUACGACGAGUGGCGAACGGGUGAGUAACACGUGGGUGACCUGCCUCGAGCUCUGGGAUAAGCCUGGGAAACUGGGUCUAAUACCGGAUAUGACCUUUGACCGCAUGGUUGGGGGUGGAAGGUUUUUCGGCUCGAGAUGGGCCCGCGGCCUAUCAGCUUGUUGGUGGGGUGAUGGCCUACCAAGGCGACGACGGGUAGCCGGCUGAGAGGGCGACCGGCCACACUGGGACUGAGAUACGGCCCAGACUCCUACGGGAGGCAGCAGUGGGGAAUA